CAUUAGAUAGCUUAAAGUAAGCAAGAGCCUCUUAAGCUUUGAUAUAGUAGACUAACAAUUACUUUUAAUGA
rnacentral:tRNA from 1 species